GGCCUCGUAGCUCAGUUGGCAGAGCAUUGGAUUAGUAUCCCAAAGGUCGCGGGUUCGAUUCCCACCGUGGUCC